CACUCCAGAUAAACUCUGCUUCCUUCCGCCACUUCUUGGCUCCGGAGCUUCUGGAUGAACCGAGGGGCUGAGGGCGGGCGCCGCGCAUCCGGGUGGGUCUGGGGGCGGUGCCCGGCCUCCUCCCGGCGGGCCUGGGGGCAGUGCCCGGCCGGGUCCAGGUGGGCCUGGGGGCGGUGCCCGGCCGGGUCCAGGUGGGUCUGGGCCAGCCCGGCCUCCAGUCCCGCCUCCCGCCGGUCUUCGGUGGGGCUCUGGCUGGCGGAGGCGCUCCGCGG